CAGGAUAUGGUGUUAAUGGUAGCAUUCCACACUUGGGAUGUGGAGGUGCAGGUUCGAGUCCUGCUAUCCUGA
rnacentral:tRNA from 1 species